rfam:Ophiophagus hannah scaffold877.1, whole genome shotgun sequence.
GAAAUUCCCUCAGGUUAGCUAGCGCUCAUGGGAACAAGGCUGCCGCAGUUUUAUCCAGUCAAGCGAAUGAUUAAAGGUCUUGGGGCUGAAACAAUCUCAACCUAUUCUCAAACUUCAAAUGGGUAAGAACCCCGGCUAGCUGGCAUGGAGCCAGGCAUGGAAGGCGAGACGUCUAGUGGGCCACUUUUAGUAAGCAUAACUGAGGCUGCGGGAUGAACCGAACACUGGGUUAAGGCACCUGAUGCCGACACUCAUCAGACCCCAGAAAAGGGGUUGGUUGAUAUAGCCUUCAUAAAUACAUGCCAGAUGCCAAGUGCCCAAAUUUUGAUCAUGUGAUAGUGGGGAUGCUGCAACCGUUGUAAAUGGAAGGGCCGGUCCUAACCCUUUUUAGUG